rnacentral:rRNA from 1 species
UACGUAGGGGGCAAGCGUUGUCCGGAAUCAUUGGGCGUAAAGCGCGUGUAGGCGGUCCGGUAAGUCGGCUGUGAAAGUCCAGGGCUCAACCCUGGGAUGCCGGUCGAUACUGCCGGACUAGAGUUCGGAAGAGGCGAGUGGAAUUCCCGGUGUAGCGGUGAAAUGCGCAGAUAUCGGGAGGAACACCAAUGGCGAAGGCAGCUCGCUGGGACGUUACUGACGCUGAGACGCGAAAGCGUGGGGAGCAAACAGGAUUACAAACCCGGUAG